rnacentral:rRNA from 1 species
UACCUUAGCAGCCCCUCGUGGAGCGUGUCGGGGCUGUUUCAGGGUAGCGGCGUACGUCGCGUCCAAUGACUUCGACAUCGUUACUCUUACCAGGAGGACCUACGAGAACGUAGGAUGCACCCUUCAUACGAGUGUCCCUACCGUGUUCUUCCUCACACCUACGACGAGCCACAGAGCCCGCUCUAGCUCUCGUACCUCCUGUUCGAGUCCCUGGAAUUCUUGAAGGAACGGCUACGGCUAGCCGCCUUGUAGUGUCUACUUAGUCAAAACCCGACCCAACUUCUUGAGUUUGCGCGGUACAUGCCCCGUUGGCUGUAGGAACUGGAGACGGUCGAGUUCCGGUACCUUUCGCGAGGUAGUCAUCGAUCGGACCCCACAAAAUUGGGAAACGAGGAGACAUGUUCCUUAGGAAACGUACGGGCGCUGUAACCGUGGGCAUAGUUCCAGGACUUGUCCUUCGAACUACUAUAGUCGCUCGCACCACGAUUUCCGAAGAUAGAACCAAAUAGAUUCCUGGCACCUCCAUCCUACGUGCGGAUAGUAACGGUGCGUGCGCUCUGUACACCCAACGAACUGGCCAGCGUACAACAACCCCUCUUCUAGCUUCUUCUGUGUUUUCGUAAUCACCGGUUCUAGUAUGUUUGUUCUUUGCUCCAGUUGUUGUUUUAGCGCCACGAGCGGCAGGAUCCACAGACACCCCAACCGUUCUGGUGGGAGCGCGUCUACCAGAAAGUGCUGCUCCGGUAGGUUCCACUCAAACUGUACUACUAUACCGACUCGCAGUUGUUCCUGAAGUUACCCCAACUCGACGAUUCCCGGCGUUAGUUAGAACGGCCCCCUCAUGUGUGUCCAGUACCUCUCUACAGACACGAGACCGGUUAGGAAUGGCGACGGAACUGUCCCUUCUUCCAGGACGACCACUACCUACUACAAACCUUGGUACGUCGUACCCUCCUACACGAGCUUUCUGGUAAACAAGACCGACGACGAGUUCCAUCAGCUCACGAGUAAUGGUGCUCUUUACUUUCUCAACGGGUUCGCUACCCUCGGCUCGUAGGCAUAGUGGCACAGUUAUUUAAUCCAGGUCUUCUACGGACCAGUAAUGAUUUCUUUGUCCAUCGCUGGUCACUCUGUCUACUUAGACUCUAACUAUUCGAUUUCCUAUAACCUAACGUCUAAUGUCGUUUUACACCACCAAACGGUGAACGACAAUUUCACUACCCUCCUAACAACACAGUCUUCCUGUCUUUUACCGCACUCACCCUCUACCAAGACCUACUGACAUGAGGUUCUACAGUUAACGUGCUCCUCGAUUUGGUGAGUCACAUGAAUUCGAUACUUCUCGACAGAGGAACAUACUUUGUCACGAAAGACAAGAUGAGUAAAGAGGUAUGUUUAUGUCACAAGAUACUCUUACUGUAACAACCGUACACCUAAUCACUUCCAAAAUAAAUGCCUUUGAGUCUUCUAAACCUUCUAAAUCCUUCAUUCACGAUAUCGCUCGAAUAUGACUCCUUGGAAUAUCUCGGUCUACGUUCGCUACCUAGUCUUAGUCUAUACAACCAUACCUCAGAAGAUGUUCCUGUCUUUAGUAACUCUUGUGAUUAUAGUUAACCGGUCUAUUUCGUAGUUGAACCACUAAGUAACUAAUCGAAAGGUUCAGAUGCCCGGGAUGUAUAUCUUAGGCGUUUACGACGACGUGACCAACUUAGAAACACAGAUGAAUUCGUGGACUCCAUAAACAGACAUCGUGUGUGACUACAUAGAUCAGAAGGUCUUUUGUAGUUGUGCUACUUUAAGAACGUCGUAUAAUUGGAGGUCCCGACACUUUCAAAACUCUUUGAAGGACUAUCGUAAUAUUUCGAUCUCGUCGACUCCAUAGAUUUGGAAUUACUGUGUCCAUAUUUACAAUAUGGAGCCCCAAAAGCACCAGAUUAUUUAAACUCCUUUAAUAUACCCAAAGGUCGGGUAUACCUACCGCUGACCACAUCAGAACUUCUCAACUCCGGAGAAAGGGUCAAUUCUCUUUAACCUAACUUCCCAAACCUCUUACAUCGACGAUGGAACAAACGGCGUUUCCGGUCCGAACCACUCUUCCACGUAGAAUGGAUGAACUUCAAUCUCGCGUGGUCGUCUAGCCCUCCACUACUCAACCAAUUCCUUCCUUCUCCACGGAAAGUCCUACUUCUUGUUGUUUAACUCUUCCACAAACUACUCGAGAUGGGUGGUGGCCAGGAUUCAUAAGAACUGUAGGUUCCUAUGAAACCAGACGUCGAGGGUAAAACCUACUCUUGUCUCCUGGCAGAAUUCUUGGACCAACAAGACUGCUACCUUCUAAACCGAACGACGUGGGUCGAAGGUACAACGAACUCAGUCGAAGGGAUAAAUUUCCAGGAAUUCUAACUUGCUCGGGGUCGGUAGUCGUCACAACCCGGACUUAAGAAACCUCAAAGGCUUGUAGUAUUGGUCUGCCACUGAUACAAAGGGGCAAACGUACUUGACCAGAAGAGACCUUACCACUUCACCCUCCUCACCCACACCCUCCUUGUCAAUUUACGGUACGGGCGGGACCUCCUCGAAGACCAGCUAUCGACGUUUGACUCCUCGAAAGGAGGACCGGAACGGAAGGUGCGUUCCCGAAACUUUGCUAACCAAUAAUGGCGCCGAGAUUUGGAGUUGAGAGAACUAUCAAAACGAAGACAACAACUCGAAGUACACAUAAAGUCAGGUUUCGACUGUUCAUAUCGAUUAGAGGUACUCGACGUUUUCGAGUGUUAGUAAAAGACGGGUUUCGACCUCUGUAACUAACCACAAGGACGUUAGGCUUCUGAACACGACCUCCUAAUACUGUACCUUUGUGAGGGCUCUAUGGAAGUUCUACAUCCCUUGGACUCGGAAAACGUCGAUCUGACGUCGGAUCUCGAAGAGUGCAGGUAUCGGUACCCCGUUGGACCUGGUCUCACCUUUUUCAUGUCGGUACAGUUCGUACAGUUCCGUAUACGCGUACUACCUCUGUUAGUUUCCCUUACCAUACACAAUAUGUGUUUUCUAGGGAUGUUUAAGCUCUGCUUGUAGUCGGUUGCGAGAAGGUUUGACCUUCGACAACCGUUUCCACUUCUGUUCGAAUAACCGUCUCUCCGUCUUGUUGAAGAACCGUAUCUGUCGAGCUCACCGAGUCGUCAGUCGCUUCUAUUGGCUCUUGAACAACCUUAACUUUUAGGUACAGUUAUAGAUUAGUUUAACGACUGCGUACCACUACUCCUUCUUGAUUUUUACCAGAGGUAAACACCUUGACCUCCAAACCCAUUUUGCUGUCAACGGGUACGUCAAAUAUCCUUCUAACGUUUACUCAAAUUUAUAUUUCAAAAACAACUGUACGGGACAUUAGAACUGUAUUUUCACUAGUAACCUUGGUAUACACGACUUCAACCAACAGGAGCAGGGUUCAAACUUCUUACAACACAAGUCGUUGAUCAGCUGGCUGAGUUUUAUAAGAAACUUCCCUUUUCCAUGAACUAGCAAAAACUACCGAACAGCUGGUGUAGUCAUACCCUAGUUUAAGACGGACGUGACUUUCUAUUAUCUGUACCUUCAUCUUAUUAAUAAUGUUGGGCCUUACAGUCAUAACGACUUGUACAACCACCGGAAAUAGCAGACGGUGAAGAAAGAACGCUGCUGAGCUUGUACAAUAAGAAGGCUUCUUGUAAUAAACCGUCAUUUCUACUAACAGGAAGAGUUAAAUCUCUUAACAGACUCUUUUACAACUCAUCUACACCUGUCAAUGGUAAUCGGUAGUGACAGUAUUGACUAAACGACGGAUUUCUAUCCCACAACCUCCUUACCGUUUUCCACACACUAAGAUAACUUUCCCCAUUGCCAUACCUCUUAUAGUCUUCUCAAGAUUUUGUGUCAAUACUACUAGAUGGAGGUCUAGAGGUCUCUACGAACAACACAGAUUCAUAAAAGGGUCUCCCGAUACUCUAACCUUCUCUAUCAAACCACGUCUCUACCUAUAGACUUUUAAAUUAUACACCCCUCGUACCUGUCUUGAACGUCCUUGACCCACUCUCAAUAAAAAGACUUGAGCAUUUAAGAUUGGACUAGGUUGGCUAUCUUAAACUGCCAAGACCUUCCCUAGACCAAAUGGCACAUGGACAUUGUUGAGAACUAGAAUAACAACUAAACAGAUAAGCGCUCUUGAAACAAUGAUAUAAUGGAUCGGAUGUUGCUUGUCUAGAGGGUUCGCUCCAUGUUGCCAAUAGAGAGGCUCCGUCGUUACUCGUACUACUCGAUUUUCGUUAGUUCUUGUAACUGGUUCACUCAAGUGAGAGGGAGAAAUUACCACGACCAGGCUACGUCGGUGAAAGUUUCAAAGCUCCCGACGUUCACAAUGUAAAUGUCCUUACACUGAGACACUUCUUACUUCCACUAAGACACUUCUUACUUGCUCUAAGACACUUCUUACUUCCACAAAGACACUUCUUACUUGCUCUAAGACACUUCUUACUUGUAGAAUUGCCAGAACUCUCAAAUCUGUUCGACUCCAUGGACCAAGAUCCGUCGUCAGAAUAAUGACUCUAGGGGUUUUACUAGCCCUUUGAUGCGGUAGACGUCUAUGACCUAAACUGCCGUUGAGCACAUUUUCUCGACGGUAGGUCGUAACAAUUCGAAUGCUUUAACGCCGCCGACGAAUAAUUGUCUAGGUGUCUUCAUGGUCUAUUCUAAUAACCCUUUGAUCUUCGAGAUCUUCUUGACCACCUGUAACUAUAGAGGUUCAGAGAUUUAUAAGACGUUCUCUAACCAUGGUACGGUCUUGACUCCCACGAGUCGUAACGGAACACCAGCACCCUACUCGUAGUAUGGUGUGAAGAGAGGCUCUAAUAAACGUUUGACCGAUACUUCUUUGAGUCUGUAGAGAGAUAGACGAGAACGACAAAUGAUCUAAACUUCAGUCUAAAUGUCGGUCAAGAGGUUGAACUUUUCGAACUCUAUGUCCCGUCGUAUAAGCUGUUUAAUGGUUGUACCUAAUUGUCUGAGUGGGUAGAGGCGAGGAACAGGUAGCUCUAGAUGAGGAACCUUUUCUUACGAGAACUUCAUGAACCUUUUAAUCUCUUAGAAGAAAAGGAUAGGGAACAACGUUUCUCCUAGCGUCCUCUUUUCGAUCACUAACAAUUUUUAUGUAAGACAUGGGACGUCUGAAAAGAAGACAAGUUAGUACGGUACCGCUAUCUCAAGCUUGUUCCUCGAUACCUCUUUGAAGUUUCCGAAUUCAAUUGCGACGUCCGUAGUGACUGUUUCUGCCUACUAGAAACAAAUCCGGACCUAUGAGAGAGAAGUGAAGUCGUACAGGUACAACUUUAAUAGACGAAGUCACGGUGCCUACCCCGACACUUCCGUCGACUCUGACGUUAGCUCUCGUACUAACCUUUAUUGGGACCAUUCGGAUCUGAACUUUACUUUUCUUAACUCCUCUUUAUAUACUGUCUUCUGUUUUUCUUUCUUCGUCUGAGACUUUAGUUCCCUCUUCUACUUCUAGUUCUUAGUGAGACGGACCGUUUCGUCCUUCUUUUCUGACAAUGUAGUUUCUUCUUCUCGUCCUCCCGUUCCUUCUUCUUGUUCUCCGUAGUGAUCUUUGUUACUUAUAGCCACGGAAGUGGAUGGACCCACACCUGAAGGUAAAAAUAAAAACAAACACAAGACAUAAACGAAGGCAAACGAGCACUUAAGUACUUGAUAGUGGUCGUCCCACGGUACACGUGUUGUAGUCUUGAAAUAUUAGACAUUAUCCUGUUCAGUAGAGCCAUGAAUUUUUGGCGGCGUAGCACCACGACGGUCAAAAAAACGGGGUAUCGGGUUUAGGCCCACCACCCAAAAAGACCGCCAUGCCACGAAUGUUGAGAGACAGAUUAAAGAACAACAAGUAAAUAACGGCAACACUUUAUAUUACUUCUUACUCC